rnacentral:rRNA from 1 species
GUCGAGCGGUAGCACAGAGAGCUUGCUCUCGGGUGACGAGCGGCGGACGGGUGAGUAAUGUCUGGGAAACUGCCUGAUGGAGGGGGAUAACUACUGGAAACGGUAGCUAAUACCGCAUAAUGUCGCAAGACCAAAGUGGGGGACCUUCGGGCCUCAUGCCAUCAGAUGUGCCCAGAUGGGAUUAGCUAGUAGGUGGGGUAACGGCUCACCUAGGCGACGAUCCCUAGCUGGUCUGAGAGGAUGACCAGCCACACUGGAACUGAGACACGGUCCAGACUCCUACGGGAGGCAGCAGUGGGGAAUAUUGCACAAUGGGCGCAAGCCUGAUGCAGCCAUGCCGCGUGUGUGAAGAAGGCCUUCGGGUUGUAAAGCACUUUCAGCGGGGAGGAAGGCGGUGAGGUUAAUAACCUUAUCGAUUGACGUUACCCGCAGAAGAAGCACCGGCUAACUCCGUGCCAGCAGCCGCGGUAAUACGGAGGGUGCAAGCGUUAAUCGGAAUUACUGGGCGUAAAGCGCACGCAGGCGGUCUGUCAAGUCGGAUGUGAAAUCCCCGGGCUCAACCUGGGAACUGCAUUCGAAACUGGCAGGCUAGAGUCUUGUAGAGGGGGGUAGAAUUCCAGGUGUAGCGGUGAAAUGCGUAGAGAUCUGGAGGAAUACCGGUGGCGAAGGCGGCCCCCUGGACAAAGACUGACGCUCAGGUGCGAAAGCGUGGGGAGCAAACAGGAUUAGAUACCCUGGUAGUGCACGCCGUAAACGAUGUCGAUUUGGAGGUUGUGCCCUUGAGGCGUGGCUUCCGGAGCUAACGCGUUAAAUCGACCGCCUGGGGAGUACGGCCGCAAGGUUAAAACUCAAAUGAAUUGACGGGGGCCCGCACAAGCGGUGGAGCAUGUGGUUUAAUUCGAUGCAACGCGAAGAACCUUACCUGGUCUUGACAUCCACAGAACUUUCCAGAGAUGGAUUGGUGCCUUCGGGAACUGUGAGACAGGUGCUGCAUGGCUGUCGUCAGCUCGUGUUGUGAAAUGUUGGGUUAAGUCCCGCAACGAGCGCAACCCUUAUCCUUUGUUGCCAGCGGUUCGGCCGGGAACUCAAAGGAGACUGCCAGUGAUAAACUGGAGGAAGGUGGGGAUGACGUCAAGUCAUCAUGGCCCUUACGACCAGGGCUACACACGUGCUACAAUGGCAUAUACAAAGAGAAGCGACCUCGCGAGAGCAAGCGGACCUCAUAAAGUAUGUCGUAGUCCGGAUUGGAGUCUGCAACUCGACUCCAUGAAGUCGGAAUCGCUAGUAAUCGUAGAUCAGAAUGCUACGGUGAAUACGUUCCCGGGCCUUGUACACACCGCCCGUCACACCAUGGGAGUGGGUUGCAAAAGAAGUAGGUAGCUUAACCUUCGGGAGGGCGCUACCACU